UACGAAGGGGGCUAGCGUUGCUCGGAAUCACUGGGCGUAAAGCGCACGUAGGCGGAUCUUUAAGUCAGGGGUGAAAUCCUGGAGCUCAACUCCAGAACUGCCUUUGAUACUGGGGAUCUCGAGUCCGGGAGAGGUGAGUGGAACUCCGAGUGUAGAGGUGAAAUUCGUAGAUAUUCGCAAGAACACCGGUGGCGAAGGCGGGUCUCUGGGCCGUA
rnacentral:rRNA from 1 species